GACAGAGGGUGCAAACGUUGUUCGGAAUUACUGGGCGUAAAGCGCGUGUAGGCGGCUAUGUAAGUCGGGCGUGAAAUCCCACGGCUCAACCGUGGAAGUGCACCCGAAACUGCGUAGCUAGAGUCCUGGAGAGGAAGGUGGAAUGCUUGGUGUAGAGGUGAAAUUCGUAGAUAUCAGGAGGAACACCGAUGGCGAAGGCAGGUCUCUGGGCCGAUACUGACGCUGAGGAGCGAAAGCGUGGGGAGCGAACAGG
rnacentral:rRNA from 1 species